rnacentral:rRNA from 1 species
GAUGAACGCUGGCGGCGUGCCUAAUACAUGCAAGUCGAGCGAACAGACUAGGAGCUUGCUCCUCUGACGUUAGCGGCGGACGGGUGAGUAACACGUGGAUAACCUCCCUAUAAGACUGGGAUAACUUCGGGAAACCGGAGCUAAUACCGUAUAAUAUAUUGAACCGCAUGGUUCAAUAGUGAAAGACGGUUUUGCUGUCACUUAUAGAUGGAUCCGCGCCGCAUUAGCUAGUUGGUAAGGUAACGGCUUACCAAGGCAACGAUGCGUAGCCGACCUGAGAGGGUGAUCGGCCACACUGGAACUGAGACACGGUCCAGACUCCUACGGGAGGCAGCAGUAGGGAAUCUUCAGAAAUGGGCGAAAGCCUGACGGAGCAACGCCGCGUGAGUGAUGAAGGUCUUCGGAUCGUAAAACUCUGUUAUUAGGGAAGAACAAAUGUGUAAGUAACUAUGCACGUCUUGACGGUACCUAAUCAGAAAGCCACGGCUAACUACGUG